rnacentral:rRNA from 1 species
GAACUUAAGCAUAUCAAUAAGCGGAGGAAAAGAAACCAACAGGGAUUACCUCAGUAACGGCGAGUGUAGCGGUAACAGCUCAAAUUUGAAAUCUGCCGCAAGGCCGAGUUGUAAUUUGUAGAAGAUGCUUUGGGUAUGGCCCCGGUCUAAGUUCGUUGGAACACGACGUCAUAGAGGGUGAGAAUCCCGUAUGUGACUGGGUGCUUUUGCCUAUGUAAAGCUCUUUCGACGAGUCGAGUUGUUUGGGAAUGCAGCUCAAAAUGGGUGGUAUAUUUCAUCUAAAGCUAAAUAUUGGCCAGAGACCGAUAGCGCACAAGUAGAGUGAUCGAAAGAUGAAAAGCACUUUGGAAAGAGAGUUAAACAGUACGUGAAAUUGUUGAAAGGGAAGCGCUUGCAACCAGACUUGCACGCUGUUGAUCAUCCAGGCUUCUGUUUGGUGCACUCAACUGUGUUCAGGCCAGCAUCGGUUUUGGUGGUGGGAUAAAGGCCUUGGGAAUGUAGCUUCUUUCGGGGAGUGUUAUAGCCCUCGGUGCAAUGCCGCCUACUGGGACCGAGGACCGCGCUUCGGCUAGGAUGCUGGCGUAAUGGUUGUAAGCGACCCGUCUUGAAACACGGGCCAAGGAGUCUAACAUCUAUGCGAGUGUUUGGGCGUCAAACCCAUACGCGUAAUUAACGUGAACGGAGGUGAGAACCCUUAAGGGUGCAUCAUCGACCGAUCCUGAUGUCUUCGGAUGGAUUUGAGUAAGAGCAUAGCUGUUGGGACCCGAAA